GUGCUUGUUUGGGCAGCACACAUACUAAAAUUGGGACAAUAAAGAGAAUAUUAGCAUGGCCCCUGCGCAAGGAAGACAUGCAAAUAGUGAAGCAUUCCAAACAAAC
ensembl:snRNA U6 U6 spliceosomal RNA